rnacentral:rRNA from 1 species
CUUUACUGUAGCCUGGUAUUGGGUUCGGGCUUUGACUGCGCAGGAUAGGUGGGAGACUGAGAAGUGUGCCUUGUGGGGCACAUAGAGUCAACGGUGAGAUACCACUCUGUCAGAGCUAGAAUUCUAACCUUCACCCGUGAUCCGGGGAAGGAACCGUAUCAGGUGGGCAGUUUGACUGGGGCGGUCGCCUCCUAAAAGGUAACGGAGGCGCGCAAAGGUGUUCUCAGGCUGGUUGGAAAUCAGCCGUAGAGUGUAAAGGCAGAAGAACGCUUGACUGUGAGAGUGACAACUCAAGCAGGGUGGAAACACGGCCUUAGUGAUCCGACGGUAUGCGCGUGGAAGUGCCGUCGCUCAACGGGUAAAAGUUA